CAGACCUCUAAUCGGAAAAGACUACCCGCUGAGUUUAAGCAUAUCACUAAGCGGAGGAGAAGAAACUAACCAGGA
rnacentral:rRNA from 9 species